AUUGAACGCUGGCGGCAUGCUUUACACAUGCAAGUCGAACGGUAACAGGUUAAGCUGACGAGUGGCGAACGGGUGAGUAAUGCAUCGGAACGUGCCCGAUCGUGGGGGAUAACGCAGCGAAAGCUGCGCUAAUACCGCAUACGAUCUGAGGAUGAAAGCGGGGGACCGUAAGGCCUCGCGCGAUCGGAGCGGCCGAUGUCAGAUUAGGUAGUUGGUGGGGUAAAGGCCCACCAAGCCGACGAUCUGUAGCUGGUCUGAGAGGACGACCAGCCACACUGGGACUGAGCCACGGCCCAGACUCCUACGGGAGGCAGCAGUGGGGAAUUUUGGACAAUGGGCGAAAGCCUGAUCCAGCAAUGCCGCGUGCAGGAAGAAGGCCUUCGGGUUGUAAACUGCUUUUGUACGGAGCGAAAAGGUCUCCUCUAAUACAGGGGGCUCAUGACGGUACCGUAAGAAUAAGCACCGGCUAACUACGUGCCAGCAGCCGCCGUAA
rnacentral:rRNA from 1 species